GGGCUCUGGGUUAGUGGGUUUGGCGGUUCAUCGGUUUUUGAGGUCGGAAGGAUGUGGCUCUUCGUGGGUUUCGCGUCGGCGUGCAAACUAGUUGGGGACAUAAGGGAGCGAGAAGAAAAGCAGGGGCAGCGUGGCAGAGGGUGGCGCGCUACCGCGGCUCGCGUUCGGGAUCGGGUCCGGACCGCCAGUGCCGCGGCCAGGUGGUUCGGGCGCACGCCCACGAGGUGUGCCCCGUCCCGGACGGGGGACGACCGCGCUUCGGGCCGGGCCACCAGAUGACCUACGACGCCCUGGUCGCCGAUCGGCUGUUGACCCGCGAGGAGGUGCGCCGCUCGGAGCGGCGACGAAGGCGCCGCGGCGAGCGGCAGCGUAAGAGGGACAAGGGCUUCGGCAAGGAGGAGAGGCGCGCGGCGGCGGUUGAGCCUAAGGAGGAGGCACCGGAGGCGGCCGAGCGGCGGCUGCGGCGGUGGGCGGCGUAGGGGAAGAAGGAGGAAUGGCCACCCGGGUACCUCUAUGGUCGCGACUACGUCGCCGAUCCCCGCAGCCGCGACCAGCGGCUGAAGAGUGGCGAGGCCGGCCAAGCGCUCCGUGACCUGCGCCAUCACCCGCGCGACACGGCGCUACGACGGUCACACCGGCAAGUGGUCCACCUGCGGGUGUUGCACCACGGCCAUACCUGCCGUAGCCCCUUCGACCUCAUGAGACGGUUCUGAAAGUCUUCGUUCUACUUGUUCCACAACCUACUCAUGGACCAACUCAAGGGGCUCAACCCUCUCCACCACGGUACCCUGUCCCUCGUCGGUUUCCUGUAACUAACCCUAUGCGAUUAACUGUGCCAAACUUCCAGGCCUACACAACGCUGUUUAAGUGACGUAUACACUACACCUUACUUCUUGAACAAUACUCACCACAACCUAAGAAACGACUACAACGUCGGUCCGUCUCCUGCACGGUCUCUAACUGACCACGCUCGGUCCGUUCCGCCGCCGUUACCUCCGUGAAGACCCAUGGUUCCUACCCAAGGAUUGCUUCUCCUAGUUCUCGAUACUAAGCCUGGCCUUAAUAGGGUGUUUCGGUUACCGUAACAGGCCGGAGAGAGGGAUGGACGUAAAACCCGUAUAAAGUCGUGUUUCUACACGAGAGCUCCGUUUUUUUGCAGCGGUAGAAUCAGGGUUCAGUCACCUACGAAAGAACCUCCUCGACUAUUAUUCCUCCCUCGAUCGGCUGUUGAAGACGAUGAUAGUCGGAGUGAUACUAAGCCAUCGGCCCCGAACCCUCACCCGCUCUUUCUGUGAUUUCCUAGUACGACGGCUGUUUUCUCUCGUGUAAAUGUGCUCCCUCGUCGAACUCUUACGUUUUUGUCAACUAGGAGAGACCUUACGUAGUGUCAACCUCUACCAGGUGGUACCUUUUUACGUGCCUAAGUACGCUUACAUAACCCGGUUUUUUUAAGAUCUUACCUGGUCACCUGGACUUCUUCGUGAAAGUUAUCGUUAUAUAAACUUACUGUUCAUAGUGUAUCUGCCGUCCCUGGGGUUACCGAUACAACCAACGUACACCAGAUAUACACCGGAGGUACUAGUCCCAACCUUCCUCGCAGGCCAUAAACCUUUCUAUGCAAUGUACUUAAUACGACCAACGUUCUCUUUUAAGCUGCAACUACGGAUGUAAAGAAUGCAGUUUUCUAACCAACGAGUUGAGUUCUUUUCCUUUAGCCUCCUUAGAGACUUAAGUCGUCGGUUCAUGAGCUUCAGACUCUUCCUGAUCAGGUCGAUGAUUGAGAUCAAGGCGUAACUAAAACUAAGACCAGAUAUCACCAUUAACCGUCAAUUUCUGUUGAAUUUAUAACAUUAAUCAACAAACAAGCAAAAUUGAGCACCCAAUGUAUCCGAAAAAAAAAACGCCCCUGCAAAUGUAUCCGUAAACUAGUGUAUUAUAAGGUUGUCAUUCUUACAUCUCCGUUCGAGAAAGCGAGGUACUACGUGGUAACUCUUUAGAAGCGAUUCCGUGUAUAUGGAGAUAUGCGUGCAGCAGUGUAGGAGAACGGGACGAAGAGGUACCCUUUGAUCUGGUGGUGGAGGUAGAGCG
rnacentral:rRNA from 1 species